AGUGAACGCUGGCGGUAGGCCUAACACAUGCAAGUCGAACGGCAGCACAGUAAGAGCUUGCUCUUACGGGUGGCGAGUGGCGGACGGGUGAGGAAUACAUCGGAAUCUACUUUUUCGUGGGGGAUAACGUAGGGAAACUUACGCUAAUACCGCAUACGACCUACGGGUGAAAGCAGGGGAUCUUCGGACCUUGCGCGAUUGAAUGAGCCGAUGUCGGAUUAGCUAGUUGGCGGGGUAAAGGCCCACCAAGGCGACGAUCCGUAGCUGGUCUGAGAGGAUGAUCAGCCACACUGGAACUGAGACACGGUCCAGACUCCUACGGGAGGCAGCAGUGGGGAAUAUUGGACAAUGGGCGCAAGCCUGAUCCAGCCAUACCGCGUGGGUGAAGAAGGCCUUCGGGUUGUAAAGCCCUUUUGUUGGGAAAGAAAAACAGCAGGUUAAUACCCCGCCGUUCUGACGGUACCCAAAGAAUAAGCACCGGCUAACUUCGUG
rnacentral:rRNA from 1 species